rnacentral:tRNA from 1 species
GCGGGCGUGGUAUAAGGGUUGUGCCUCAGCCUUCCAAGCUGGUGAUGCGAGUUCGAGUCUCGCUGUCCGCU